rnacentral:rRNA from 1 species
ACGCACGCUGGCGGCGUGCUUAACACAUGCAAGUCGAACGGUGAAGCGCCUUCCUUUUUGGUGGGUGUGGAUGAGUGGCGAACGGGUGAGUAACACGUGAGUAACCUGCCCCCUUCUUCUGGAUAACCGCAUGAAAGUGUGGCUAAUACGGGAUAUUCUGGGUCUGUCGCAUGAUGGGUCUGGGAAAGAUAUUGUUUCGGUGGGGGAUGGGCUCGCGGCCUAUCAGCUUGUUGGUGGGGUGAUGGCCUACCAAGGCGGUGACGGGUAGCCGGCCUGAGAGGGUUGACCGGUCACACGGGGCGUGAGACACGGCCCAGCUCCCAAGGGGGGGAGGAGGUGGGAAAAAUUGAAAAAUGGCGCAAGCCUGAUGCAGCGACGCCGCGUGAGGGAUGGAGGCCUUCGGGUUGUGAACCUCUUUCGCCAGUGAAGCAGGCCUGCCUCGUUUGUGGGUGGGUUGACGGUAGCUGGAUAAGAAGCGCCGGCUAACUACGUG